rnacentral:rRNA from 1 species
ACGUAGGUGGCAAGCGUUGUCCGGAUUUACUGGGUGUAAAGGGCGUGCAGCCGGGUCUGCAAGUCAGAUGUGAAAUCCAUGGGCUCAACCCAUGAACUGCAUUUGAAACUGUAGAUCUUGAGUGUCGGAGGGGCAAUCGGAAUUCCUAGUGUAGCGGUGAAAUGCGUAGAUAUUAGGAGGAACACCAGUGGCGAAGGCGGAUUGCUGGACGAUAACUGACGGUGAGGCGCGAAAGUGUGGGGAGCAAACAG